UAAGGGCGCACGGUGGAUGCCUUGGCACUAGAAGCCGAUGAAGGACGUUACUAACGACGAUAUGCUUUGGGGAGCUGUAAGUAAGCUUUGAUCCAGAGAUUUCCGAAUGGGGAAACCCAGCAUGAGUUAUGUCAUGUUAUCGAUAUGUGAAUACAUAGCAUAUCAGAAGGCACACCCGGAGAACUGAAACAUCUUAGUACCCGGAGGAAGAGAAAGAAAAUUCGAUUCCCUUAGUAGCGGCGAGCGAAACGGGAAGAGCCCAAACCAACAAGCUUGCUUGUUGGGGUUGUAGGACACUCUAUACGGAGUUACAAAGGACGACAUUAGACGAAUCAUCUGGAAAGAUGAAUCAAAGAAGGUAAUAAUCCUGUAGUCGAAAAUGUUGUCUCUCUUGAGUGGAUCCUGAGUACGACGGAGCACGUGAAAUUCCGUCGGAAUCUGGGAGGACCAUCUCCUAAGGCUAAAUACUCUCUAGUGACCGAUAGUGAACCAGUACCGUGAGGGAAAGGUGAAAAGCACCCCGGAAGGGGAGUGAAAUAGAACCUGAAACCGUGUGCUUACAAGUAGUCAGAGCCCGUUAAUGGGUGAUGGCGUGCCUUUUGUAGAAUGAACCGGCGAGUUACGAUUUGAUGCAAGGUUAAGCAGUAAAUGUGGAGCCGUAGCGAAAGCGAGUCUGAAUAGGGCGUUUAGUAUUUGGUCGUAGACCCGAAACCAGGUGAUC
rnacentral:rRNA from 1 species